UACAGAGGGGUGCAAGCGUUGUUCGGAAUUACUGGGCGUAAAGCGCGUGUAGGCUGCAAUGUAAGUCGAGUGUGAAAGCCCUUGGCUCAACCAAGGAAGUGCAUUCGAUACUGCGUCGCUUGAGUGUCGGAGGGGGUGGCGGAAUUCCCGGUGUAGAGGUGAAAUUCGUAGAUAUCGGGAGGAACACCUGUGGCGAAGGCGGCCACCUGGGCGACAACUGACGCUGAGACGCGAAAGCGUGGGUAGCAAACAGG
rnacentral:rRNA from 1 species